UACGUAGGGGGCAAGCGUUGUCCGGAAUCAUUGGGCGUAAAGAGCGUGUAGGCGGUUCGGUAAGUCUGUCGUGAAAUCCUGAGGCUCAACCUCGGGCGUGCGAUGGAUACUGCCGGGCUAGAGGGUGGUAGAGGCGAGUGGAAUUCCCGGUGUAGCGGUGAAAUGCGCAGAUAUCGGGAGGAACACCAGUAGCGAAGGCGGCUCGCUGGGCCACACCUGACGCUGAGACGCGAAAGCUAGGGGAGCGAACAGG
rnacentral:rRNA from 1 species